UACGUAGGGGGCAAGCGUUGUUCGGAAUGACUGGGCGUAAAGGGCGUGUAGGCGGGAGUGCAAGUCAGAUGUGAAAACUAUGGGCUCAACCCAUAGCCUGCAUUUGAAACUGUAUUUCUUGAGUGCUGGAGAGGCAAUCGGAAUUCCGUGUGUAGCGGUGAAAUGCGUAGAUAUACGGAGGAACACCAGUGGCGAAGGCGGAUUGCUGGACAGUAACUGACGCUGAGGCGCGAAAGCGUGGGUAGCAAACAGG
rnacentral:rRNA from 1 species